CAGAAGAUUUGUCAGAAGAACAAAGACCUCAAAAUGAGAAGGAAUGUGUUCUGGACUUAAAACAUUGCUCAGGUAUCUUAGCAAGGACUGAGACCUUGGAGGUCUCCAAAGACCAGUAAGAAUCAUUUCUUUAUGGAUGUGGCAGAAAGCUUUGCAAGCCAAGAAAGUCUUCUAUCCAGGUGAUGCAAAUAACUGUAAAACUUCAGACUUCUUGAACUACAAAGAUGAACUCUGCCAACCCAAGUUCUAGUACUUCCUCUACUCCCAGCCUGACCCCCACUGUUUCUUGGUUUCCUCACUCCUUCUCUUUCUGUUUGACUCUUGAGAGUAAUAAACUCAGCCAAGUCCUACUACUUGAGCCCAUAUUUAAAUGCAGAACAA
rnacentral:lncRNA from 1 species